UACGGGGGGGGCAAGCGUUGUUCGGAAUUACUGGGCGUAAAGGGCGCGUAGGCGGUUGGAUAAGUCAGCUGUGAAAACCACGGGCUUAACUCGUGGCCUGCAGUUGGGACUGUCUGGCUUGAGUGUGGGAGAGGAGAGUGGAAUUCCUGGUGUAGCGGUGAAAUGCGUAGAUAUCAGGAGGAACACCGGUGGCGAAGGCGGCUCUCUGGACCACAACUGACGCUGAGGCGCGAAAGCUAGGGGAGCAAACAGG
rnacentral:rRNA from 1 species